AUGUUAUAUUUUAGAACCGAAGAGUACUAAAUUAGUGCCUAAUCCCCUCCAGAAGUUCAGAAACUAAACGCGCCGCCUUCAAGUCCACCUAAAGAAAACUUCCUAUCAGCGGGGGUUUUCCUUUCUUUCUUUUUUUUGGGGGGGGGGGGGGAGGGGGCGCAGGGAAUACCCAGAUGGAUAGCAAGCCUUAUCUUACAUCAAGAUUCCAAGACCAACACUGCUAUUUGUUUCCCUAACCAAGUAACCGCAAUGGGCAUUUGUAUGACUGGACAGAUUUUCUGUAGCCACAACUGAAUUCUUUUCGCCAAAACAAACAUCUCAAUAGAAUAUAUGA